rnacentral:rRNA from 1 species
CGACCGGCCACACUGGGACUGAGACACGGCCCAGACUCCUACGGGAGGCAGCAGUGGGGAAUCUUGCGCAAUGGGCGAAAGCCUGACGCAGCGACGCCGCGUGGGGGAUGAAGGCCUUCGGGUUGUAAACCCCUUUCAGCAGGGACGAAGCGAAAGUGACGGUACCUGCAGAAGAAGCGCCGGCUAACUACGUGCCAGCAGCCGCGGUAACACGUAGGGCGCAAGCGUUGUCCGGAAUUAUUGGGCGUAAAGAGCUCGUAGGCGGACUGUUGCGUCCGCUGUGAAAAGCUGGGGCUUAACCCUGGCCUUGCAGUGGAUACGGGCAGACUAGAGGUAGGUAGGGGAGAAUGGAAUUCCCGGUGUAGCGGUGAAAUGCGCAGAUAUCGGGAGGAACACCGGUGGCGAAGGCGGUUCUCUGGGCCUGACCUGACGCUGAGGAGCGAAAGCGUGGGGAGCGAACAGGAUUAGAUACCCUGGUAGUCCACGCUGUAAACGUUGGGCGCUAGGUGUGGGGUCCUUCCACGGAUUCCGUGCCGCAGCUAACGCAUUAAGAGCCCCGCCUGGGGAGUACGGCCGCAAGGCUAAAACUCGAAGGAAUUGACGGGGGCCCGCACAAGCGGCGGAGCAAGUUGCUUAAAUCGACGCAACGCGAAGAACCUUACCAAGGUUUGACAUGCAGGGAAAAGCCGUAGAGAUACGGUGUCCGCAAGGGCCCUGCACAGGUGGUGCAUGGCUGUCGUCAGCUCGUGUCGUGAGAUGCUGGGUUAAGUCCCGCAACGAGCGCAACCCUCGUUCUAUGUUGCCAGCGGAUAAUGCCGGGGACUCAUAGGAGACUGCCGGGGUCAACUCGGAGGAAGGUGGGGAUGGCGUCAAGUCAUCAUGCCCCUUAUGUCUUGGGCUGCAAACAUGCUACAAUGGCCGGUACAGAGGGCUGCGAAACCGCAAGGUGGAGCGAAUCUCAAAAAGCCGGUCUCAGUUCGGAUUGGGGUCUGCAACUCGACCCCAUGAAGUCGGAGUCGCUAGUAAUCGCAGAUCAGA